rnacentral:lncRNA from 1 species
GUUCUACCCUUUCCCAUAGGCAGGUGCUGCAGGAGACCAGUGCACACUGUAAUGAUUAUGGCUUCGUCUUCCCUCUCUCCUUCCGUGUCUACUGUCUGAUUUUCAAAGGGUUGCUGAGUGUGAAAUAGUCUGACCUCUUGUCAGCCAGAGAGCCGGGUGAGGGAGAGUGCUGGCUUCAGAAAGUUAUAUGAUAGAGAUACUAGCCUUUCAUUAUGCAGGGGAUAUAAAAACGAUUUAAAAUAAACCCUUUAUUUAAU